GAUCAUAUUGUUCCUCUACAAAGACAACAGACACUCUCAACGGCUAGGCGUCACUCUCUUUCUGAGUUAUUCUAGCUUCUUCAUGAUUUCGUGUCGCGGUGAACAAACAUUCAGUCAAGUUUGCGAUUGCCGGCAUUUGAUUUAUUGAUGAUGGAAUUGGAUGAUUAUCAUCUUCAUAUUGCUCAAGUUACCCCCAACAGGUUUCGAAGAUCAUUUAUUUCGUGAUCUUAUGCUCUGCUCUAAAUGUGGCGCCUUCCAUUACUCUAUUAUGUCACUUCUAUGUGACUAUGUCUAACGGUGAUUAGGUGUCCUUCUCCAUUUUCCAUGGUUUGGUAGAGAUAUGAGAUGCCCUUUCCCACCUUCAUAAAGUAUUACAAAGAAUAAUUUUCAUUGUUCAUGCUUCUACUUUCCCUGGAUGGAUGUUUUAUGGUGAUCCUAUUGAUAGAUCUGAUGAUUCCUCUCCCAAAUUGUCUGACGAAGAACAAAGUAUUGUGAGUUGUUUAUCAAAUAAUUUUGUCAUGUGGGUUGAUCUUGAGGAAAUAAUGUUAGGUAUGGCGGGAAUCAGAGCUUAUUAUAAAAAAUUAGGGGAAAGCCUAUGGAAACCAUAGCGGGUUGUGAGGUUACUCUAUUAGACUGGUUACACAAGCAACGUUUGGCAAGUUCUUCAUUGGUCACAAAGGAUGCGACCAUCACUAAUUCCCCCUCUUAAUCAGAAUAUAGUUUGGAUUCUGCUUUCAAUUCCUUUGGUAUGAAUACCACUGUGACUGUGGUACCUUCUCCUAUUAAGUGGAUUGUGAAAGCGGAGUUUGACAGCGGAAAACCCCAUAUUCUUCAGUCCAAUUCGUGUUAAAGGGAUCUUCCUGCAAAAGAAAAAAUGUAGCAAAGAAAACUCUUUCUUUGGAAGGGGUUAUGAGCCGUCCUGACAAACCGAUUGAACUCUCUUCUCCUAAACAGAUAAGUACUACUCGAUGUAGUGAAACAAAAAUUCAUAGUAUGUCAUCUCUUAUCAUUCAUCCUUCGUCUAAAUCCAUGAAUCCAUAACCUUCUUUGGAACCAUCUACAACAACUACUCUCCAUGAGUGUCCAGUAAUUAUUGAUCCUAAAUUGAAGAAUACUGAAGAAACAUUGGCUUCUUCCGAUACUGAAAUUCCGAUCCCUGAUAUUUCUCUUUCUUCUACCUUGGGGGAGACUCCUGUUAUUAAAUCUCUCGAACCACCAUAAAAAAGUCAAACUCCAACCACUUUAUCUUCGGCUGCUGUCUUUCAAUAGAAACUUUUUAGGGAUGGAAUUGGGCUCUUUGAAGCAUCGAAGACUUAGUAUUCGGUUGUGAAUACCAGACCUCUAAUUUUGGAUUCAAGUGUUCCAACUAGUUUAAGUGUUCAUCCUUUUGAUAUUCUUGAUGCUGACACCUUUUUCGGUGAUGACUCUCAGGUUGAACCAUCUGUUGAUGUCUUAUAGAAGAAUCCAUAACGAACUUUUAUUCCCUCUUUUAGUAAGGAGGCUCCAUUGCCUAGGCUUGUUGCUUUCUCCUCUUCAUUUCCUGAACUUCAGUGCCCUUUUACCAUGACCUCUAUUCCUAAAGGUGUUAAACUUGUGGAUGCUUCUAAUGAAGAGAGUCUUGAUAGGGCUCGUUCCUGUUUGAUGGAAGGGAUCCACCUACUAAACGAGGUUUCUUGUCGUACUCGUCAGCAAGCCAUCAUACUUUUUGGGAAACAACUGGUUUGAGGAAGAUUUUUAGGCACUGAAGGGGAUGCGUGUUCUUCAUGAGAAUAUAGAUGUAGAAAGGAUCUUCAUGAAUAGGUGCAUUGUUUGUCAGAGAGGAACAUGUGGUUUGGUGAAGACUUAUGUGAGAAUCUUCGCUGCUAGGAGGAGUUAAAGAAGUUGAAACAAGAUCUUCAGAUCAAAGUUGAUGACACAAUUGGGAUCGGUUGGGGUUGAUCCAAGAGUUGGAAGAGAAAAAACAACAAUUUUAAUCUUUGAAGCUUCAAUAUACCAGAAAGGUUUCACAACUGGAGAUCAUGUGCUCAGGCAAGGAUGUAAGCAUUAAAUUGCUCGAGGAGGAGUUGUCAAAAGUCAAAACUGGUGUGUCUAAGAAGGAUGCCCAAAUUGCAUCUCUAGGCGAACUUCAAACCUCUACUAAGCAAGAUGUGCUUCAAUAUAUGAUGAUAUCAGAGCGAAGCAUCUCAUACUUGCAAUGGUUUUUGAAAGAAGGUAUCCCUUCUUUUGUUUGUUCCUUGUUGAAUUCAUGCGAUUUUCACAACAUUAAUGUUGGGCUUCAGACUGCACUAAUCCAAUUGCGGCUACAUCAAGCUUGUGUUGAGAUGAAGGAAAAGUACCCCGAUGUAUUGGAUGGGAAAAAUGUUAUCUAUUCCUAUCCUGACGCCCAAUGUCGUAUCCUGGAUCGCUUCUCCGACAUGGUUUCUUAUAAGUAGUCAUUGUUUGAGCUCUUGGAGGGAGUUAAAGUGGAAAUCAAUGUGCUAAAGGAGAAAUUAGCAUCUUUGGAUCCCCUUUCCAAGUGUAAUGGUGCAAGUAGCAGUGUUUGAUUUGUAUUUGUUGGCUCCUAGUUUGGAGACUUUUUGUUUUUAUGGUUGAACCGAAGUGUUUAUUGGAUAAUAUUUUGUUAAAUUUGCUAAUUUGCAAUCUUGAAAUAUUUGUAAUCAUGGUGCAUAUUUUGAAAUUUCUUUCUAAAUUGUAU